rnacentral:rRNA from 1 species
GCCAACGACGGGCCAGCAGGCGGGGGACUAGGGAGGGUGCAAGGGUUAAUCGGAAGUUCUGGGCGUAAAGCGGGCGCAGGCGGUUGUGUAAGACAGAGGUGAAAUCCCCGGGCUCAACCUGGGAACUGCCGUUGUGACUGCAAGGCUAGAGUACGGCAGAGGGGGAUGGAAUUCCGCGUGUAGCAGUGAAAUGCGUAGAUAUGCGGAGGAACACCGAUGGCGAAGGCAAUCCCCUGGGCCUGUACUGACGCUCAUGCACGAAAGCGUGGGGAGCAAACAGGAUUAGAUACCCGAGUAGUC